GGCCUGCCCAUUGCACUUUUGGGCGGGCUGACCCGUGUGGCAGUCUCGAGUUGAGAUUCGCCAACAGUUUAAUUUUUGCGUAUCGGGGCUGCGUACGCGCGGCCCUGA
rnacentral:snRNA from 16 species